rnacentral:rRNA from 1 species
UACAGAGGUCUCGAGCGUUGUUCGGAUUUACUGGGCGUAAAGGGAGCGUAGGCGGUUCAGUAUGUCGAAUGUGAAAUCCCACGACUCAACCGUGGAAUGGCAUUCGAAACUGCUGGGCUAGAGUACUGGAGAGGAGAGCGGAAUUCUUGGUGUAGCGGUGAAAUGCGUAGAUAUAGGAAGGAACAUCAGUGGCGAAGGCGACCACCUGGACUGAUACUGACACUGAGGUGCAAAAGCGUGGGGAGCAAACAGGAUUA